rnacentral:antisense_RNA from 2 species
GUGGGAGCGGGCUUGCUCGCGAAGGCGUCGUGUCAGUCAGCAUUUAUGUCAACUGACCCACCGCAUUCGCGAGCAAGCCCGCUCCCAC